rnacentral:rRNA from 1 species
CUGCAGCUCAAGUGGUGAUCAUUAUUAUUGGGCCUAAAACGUCCGUAGCCGGUUUAGUAAAUGCCUGGGUAAAUCGUGUAGCUUAACUAUACGAAUUCUGGGUAGACUGCUAAGCUUGGGACCGGGAGAGGCUAGAGGUACUCCUGGGGUAGAGGUAAAAUUCUGUAAUCCUGGGGGGACCACCAGUGGCGAAGGCGUCUAGCUAGAACGGGUCUGACGGUGAGGGACGAAGCCCUGGGGCGCAAACCGGAUUAGAUACCCGAGUAGUCC